UCAGGCCUAACACAUGCAAGUCGAGCGGAUGAGUGGAGCUUGCUCCAUGAUUCAGCGGCGGACGGGUGAGUAAUGCCUAGGAAUCUGCCUGGUAGUGGGGGAUAACGUUUCGAAAGGAACGCUAAUACCGCAUACGUCCUACGGGAGAAAGUGGGGGAUCUUCGGACCUCACGCUAUCAGAUGAGCCUAGGUCGGAUUAGCUAGUUGGUGGGGUAAUGGCCCACCAAGGCGACGAUCCGUAACUGGUCUGAGAGGAUGAUCAGUCACACUGGAACUGAGACACGGUCCAGACUCCUACGGGAGGCAGCAGUGGGGAAUAUUGGACAAUGGGCGAAAGCCUGAUCCAGCCAUGCCGCGUGUGUGAAGAAGGUCUUCGGAUUGUAAAGCACAUGAAGUUGGAGGAAGGGCAGUAAGUUAAUACCUUGCUGUUUGACGUA
rnacentral:rRNA from 1 species